rnacentral:rRNA from 1 species
GCCACAGCACCGCAUGGUGCAGGGGUAAAAACUCCGGUGGUAUGAGAUGGACCCGCGUCUGAUUAGCUAGUUGGUAAGGUAACGGCUUACCAAGGCGACGAUCAGUAGCCGACCUGAGAGGGUGACCGGCCACAUUGGGACUGAGACACGGCCCAAACUCCUACGGGGGGCAGCAGUGGGGAAUAUUGCACAAUGGGGGAAACCCUGAUGCAGCGACGCCGCGUGAGCGAAGAAGUAUUUCGGUAUGUAAAGCUCUAUCAGCAGGGAAGAAACUGACGGUACCUGACUAAGAAGCACCGGCUAAAUACGUGCCAGCAGCCGCGGUAAUACGUAUGGUGCAAGCGUUAUCCGGAUUUACUGGGUGUAAAGGGAGCGUAGACGGAUAGGCAAGUCUGGAGUGAAAGCCCGGGGCUCAACCCCGGGACUGCUUUGGAAACUAUUUAUCUAGAGUGCUGGAGAGGUAAGUGGAAUUCCUAGUGUAGCGGUGAAAUGCGUAGAUAUUAGGAGGAACACCAGUGGCGAAGGCGGCUUACUGGACAGUAACUGACGUUGAGGCUCGAAAGCGUGGGGAGCAAACAGGAUUAGAUACCCUGGUAGUCCACGCCGUAAACGAUGACUGCUAGGUGUCGGGUGGCAAAGCCAUUCGGUGCCGCAGCAAACGCA